AUGAAAUACAGUCCGCCUUUAAUUUAUAUCUAACGUCUAGUAAGACCCUAACAUUGGUCCUUAUCUCGCCGUCUACUCGUCUGGUUCCUGAGUGAUCGCUGUACAACUGCGUGUCACCGUUCGUCGUGGACUUUGACCGGAACAACGUGGAACCGUCGUCACCUUAGCCGCGUGGAAGAGGAUCCUGGAGCUGAUGUCACCUAUUGUUGGGGAGUAUACAGUUCAUGCGUGAGUCGUUCCAAUUAGUCGCUUCCCUAAUUGUCUAUUUUUUUUCAACUUUGCCGAAAAUCGUUCCUAUUUGCCAACUUAAUUCAUAUUUUCUCAUUCAUCGUCUUGCUUCUCACUUUAUCAGCCCGCAAACCUACUAUCUGUCUCUUUCUUUGCGUAUUUUUUUGCAAGCUCGUGUUUACGUACACGCGGUCAAUAACCCUAACGGGACCCGCCUUCCUUACGUAAUCGCACUAAACUGCAUCGACUGCAUCAAUCAGCUGUUUGCGCGCUAUUCAUUCAUUUUAUUACGCAUAAUUUCCCUUUCUUUCAUUAAACUUUACACGUGCUUGUUCAAAUCAAAAUGGCUGACAUAAAAUCUUUACUUAAAAAACGAAGCACGUACAAGUGUAAGCUUACAAUCUUUACCAAUUAUUUAAAUUUAUUAAACACUGGAUCCACAAUUUCAGAAUUGCAACGUUUAGACCUCGAGGAACGCUUUAGUAGAUUCAAUGUUAUGUACACUGAAUUCGAUGCAUUGCAGAGCGAGAUCGAGAUGCUCGAGGAGGACCCCGAGGACCUUGUCGAGGAGCGCGAGGACUUCGAGCGCCAGUACUUCAGCCAGGUGGCCCUCGCACGCUCUCUGCUUGGGGUUUCUUCCAAAGCAUUGGUGAACGUCUUGAACACUUCGGGCGAGAAGUACACUGCCCGGCUACUACUGGACAACGGUAGUACAGCCAACUUCGUAACGCAACGCUUGUGUGACAAGUUGGGUUUGUCACGAUGCGGCACGAGAACAAAGGUCACAGUGAAGGCUGUACAUUUGGAGCUUGUUACGGACCUCACCACCGAAGCUUACAUGGCUGCUCUGAAUCGGUUCGUGGCGCGGCGAGGCAAGCCUCAAAGCAUCACGUCCGAUAAUGGCACUAACUUUGUCGGUGCAUCGAAUGAUCUGCAAAGGUUCCUUUCGAGUAAUAAUAAUCUAGCAUCUCAUAUAGCCCAGGAAGGCAUUGAAUUUAUUUUUACUCCUCCCUACACACCCCAUUUUAAUUCAUUAGCCGAAGCUGCAGUCAAAUCAUGUAAGCAUCAUUUAAAAAGAUUAUUACAUCUCACUCAUUUUACAUUCGAGGAAAUGACAACUUGCCUUUGUAAAAUCGAGGCCGUCCUCAAUUCACGACCUCUUACCUCUCUUUCUUCUGACCCUAACGAUUUUUCGGCUCUUACACCUUCCCAUUUCCUAAUUGGGCGACCAUUGCUGACUGUACCUCACCCUCAUGUGGCUGACGUCACUAUCACCCGUCUGGAUCGAUGGAAACGCAUCCAACACGUUCAGCAACACUUCUGGCGACGGUUUCAUAACGAGUAUGUCUCUCUGCUACAGACCAAGACGAAAUGGUUGGCAUCCACAGGCGAGGUCAAGCCUGGACAGCUGGUGCUCAUCAAGGAGAAGACCCCGCCACUGCUCUGGUCACUAGGGCGGGUCGUGAAGACCUAUCCAGGCGUGGAUGGCAUCACCAGGGUGGCCGAGUUGAAGACCAAGAGGGGGACCAUACGUCGAGCCUUCAACUGCAUCUGCCCGCUUCCACUUCAUUGAAGAAGAUGACUCUUCAACCCGGGGAGUAUGUUGGCGCUUCUCGGGUCCUCGGGCUUCUUCGACAUCGAUCGGCCAUCAUCGGCUCCGCGCGAGGCGCCGGCACACUCCGUACGUGCCCGACGCCCACUCAGCCUCACGACCGUCACCGGUGUCAGACGCGGCCCUCCCACACCAAGACGAAAUGGUUGGCAUCCACAGGCGAGGUCAAGCCUGGACAGCUGGUGCUCAUCAAGGAGAAGACCCCGCCACUGCUCUGGUCACUAGGGCGGGUCGUGAAGACCUAUCCAGGCGUGGAUGGCAUCACCAGGGUGGCCGAGUUGAAGACCAAGAGGGGGACCAUACGUCGAGCCUUCAACUGCAUCUGCCCGCUUCCACUUCAUUGAAGAAGAUGACUCUUCAACCCGGGGAGUAUGUUGGCGCUUCUCGGGUCCUCGGGCUUCUUCGACAUCGAUCGGCCAUCAUCGGCUCCGCGCGAGGCGCCGGCACACUCCGUACGUGCCCGACGCCCACUCAGCCUCACGACCGUCACCGGUGUCAGACGCGGCCCUCCCACGUAGGCGCGAACUAGCGAUAUAU